UUAGUGGAUCAGUGACGGGGCUCCGUUCUGGCCACAACAUCAGGUGGUGUAGAGUGGAUCAGUGACGGGGCUCCGUUCUGGCCACAACAUCAGGUGGUGUUGAGUGGAUCAGUGACGGGGCUCCGUUCUGGCCACAACAUCAGGUGGUGUUGAGUGGAUCAGUGACGGGGCUCCGUUCUGGCCACAACAUCAGGUGGUGUAGAGUGGAUCAGUGACGGGGCUCCGUUCUGGCCACAACAUCAGGUGGUGUCAGGUGGAUCAGUGACGGGGCUCCGUUCUGGCCACAACAUCAGGUGGUAUAGAGUGGAUCAGUGACGGGGCUCCGUUCUGGCCACAACAUCAGGUGGUGUAGAGUGGAUCAGUGACGGGGCUCCGUUCUGGCCACAACAUCAGGUGUGUGUUGAAUGUAGUGAUCACGCC